AGCAACUUCCUAGAAGAGCCUCUAUCUCUGUCCUAUCUUUGAAACUCCGCCCGGAGGCCUCCCCAGCACAAGCCCUACUUGGCAAGACGGAAGAAGGGACAGGCAGCGAGAAAAGACCAUCUUCUCAAGCCGUCGAGGCGUCCGAGGUUCGUCGUCAGCGCCCUCAGCCCGGGUCCCUGCCCCCGACCCGCGCGCCCAGCUCGUCCGGCCCGCGAGCAGCAGCGCGACGCGGGAGCGCGGCGGGCGCAGCCGGGGUUGCGGGGAGGGCGGCGGAACCUCUUGCCGGGCUUCUCCAUCCCCUUCUCAGACAGGCGCCGACCAGGUACUUACGGCAAAACCUUCCGCGUCUCCGGCUUCUCGAGGGCGGCCGACCUCAAACUGCAAGCCCGCCGCGCUAUUCUGGGGUUUGGAGGAAAACCGCACCCCGGGCGCGCCGGGCACUGAGCAUUUGAGCAACGCUCCGCUCAGGAAGCAGGCGGGCUCUGCUCUCCAGGGCUCCUGCCGGCCUCCCCCGCCCCCCAACCAAGUGCAAACUCUUUCCAUCCUACUAGAUCGGACUUCCUUCAAACCGCGCUGAGACAUCAGGAUUUAAAGGUGCAGGCUGGCUCGUUUCUUGCUGAUUGCUCCAGGGGAUAUCAAACUGACACACACACACACACACACACACACACACACACACGCACACAUCCAGUCUGGUCUUGGGAGGUGGGUCUGCCCUGAAGCCUCAGGGGCUCUCCCUUGCCACUGGUAGAACGUUCUAGGUGGCAGAAUGUUCUAGGUGGGGUGGGGGAGUCAGAGGACAAGCAGGUGGUUAUGAGCAGACUCCAGGGAUCUCGGGAGGUAUGGUCUCCAAGGCGCUAGUAAUUUGCUGCAAUUUCUUUUCAUUCUAGAAAAGUAUUUUCAAACCUCAUUUUGAACGCAGAGACUCUGACAUCAGAAGCGCAUUCUCACAGCAGGUGGCCCGGAGGCCCUAGUGAGGAGGUCUCUUGCCACAGCGGCAAAUGUAAACAAGCCACCUGUGCUACCCGUGCUGCAGACACUCACCGAGGACCCACGUCAUCAGGGACCUUUGCCACGGCCCCAAGCUGGAUGUCAGCUGCUGGUGACUAUACAGCCACAGCCGUGUGAGAAGCAGCCUGGUAGGCCGACAGGGCAGGGAGCCCUGACUUGGCAGCUGCUGUGGGUUUGCAGAGUUUCAGUGGGGCUGAGUCCCUGCGUCCAGGGCAGCCUCGUGCUCACCCCCAGACUCUGCCAUUCUCGUCACAGACCCGCACAAAGGAGCUCUGGUCACACAGCUUAGAGCUGCCCUCUGCGAGGGGUUGGUUAUAAUAUGGCCACACAGCUUAGAGCUGCCCUCUGCGAGGGGUUGGUUAUAAUAUGGCCCUGGGCCGCCCCGGCAAGCGCUGCCGCCUUUGGUGGCCCUGCCUCUUUGUCUUCAAGAAAGCCAGAGGCACAGUGCUUGGGACCCGCUCUCACUGAGGGAGCCCCACCCCGACGCUCCCCCACCACUCGGCCCAGGGCUCAGACGCAGCAGGUGCCUCCGGGGCUCUGUAAGUGGCGGAACUCCAUUUCAGCCAGCGAGCAAACGUGCCAAGUAGCAAGGCUGGGGGUGAACUCGGGCUGGCUUUAAGCCAGCCAGACCCAGAGCUUCCAAUGCCAGCAGGAACCUGUGUCGCCUCACCUCCCGGCUCUGCCUUCCGCGUGCUCGUCACUCAGACACAGGUGCUCAGGGGACCGGAGAGCCUUCCAGCACUAUUCCAAGAUCCGAGGUCUGGCAUUCAACAGCUCAGAAAAAGAUGCCUCAGAAAAGAACCCCAGAGUGACCCGCUGUCCACCUGGGGGGGUGGGCAGGGACCUGGCUGAUGGGCAGCCCCACUAGUUCUGAGAACAGCAGUUCCCAAAGGUGGAGCGGGGG